ACGGAAUCGGAUGCCCGGAUCAUGAGAUACGGAAAAAACCGUCGAAACCUACUGAGCGCACCCCGAACAUGCCCAUUUUUCGGCGUUCAAACCGCCGCGCGGCUACCCCCCCAUCCCGAUGCCCCCGGAACCCUGGUCCCGUGGAGCCCAAUGGAAACGGAAUCGAAGGCCCGGAUCAUGAGUACGGCCCCUUCUUUGCGGCCCCCGACGCCGUGCGCUAUAGCCCCCCGGGCCACCCACCAGCCAGCCGCACCUGCCCAAACCCCACUGAACGCGUCCGCCGCCUCCCGAUCCCGCCCCGCUGUCCCCCCAGGGGCAUGAACCGCCCCCCCGGGGGCCGAAACCGGCAAAACCGCCCCGAUCAAGCCCAUUUUUCGGCAUUCAAACCGCGGUGUGGCUACCCCCCCAUCCCGAUGCCACCGGACCCCUGGCCCCGUGGGACCUGACGGAAACGGAAUCGGAUGCCCGGAUCGUGAGAUACGGCCAAAACCGUCAAAACCUACUGAGCGCACCCCGAACAUACCCAUUUCCCCACCCCGAUGCCCCCAGACCCCCGGUCCCGUGGGACCCGACGGAAACGGAAUCGGAUGCCUGGAUCAUGAGAAAAGGCCAAAACCGUCACACCCUACUAAUUGCACCCCGCACAUGCCCAUUUUCCGGCGUUCAAACUGCCGCGCGGGUACCCCCCUAUCUUGAUGCCCCCGGAACCAUGGUCCCGUGGCACCCGACAGAAACGGAAUCAAAGGCCUGGAUCUUGGGUUACGGCUCCCUCUUUGCGGCCCCCGAGGCCGUGCGCUAUAGCCACCCGGGCUACCCCCCAGCAGGCCGCACCCUCCUGAACCCCACUGAACGCGUCCGCCGCCUCCCGAUCCCGCCCCGCGGUCCCCCCCGGGGCAUGAACCGCCCCCCGGGGGGCCGAAACCGGCAAAACCGGCAAAACCGCCCCAAUCGUGUCCAUUUUUUGGCGUUCAAACUGCCGCGGCUACCCUCCCAUCCCGAGGCCCCCGGACUCCUGGUCCCGAGGGACCUGACGGAAACGGAAUCGGAUGCCCGGAUCAUGAGAUACGGCCACAACCGUCAAAACCUACUGAGCGCACCCCGAACAUGCCCAUUUUUCGGCGAUCAAACCGCCACGCGACUAUCCCCCCAUCCCGAUGCCCCCGGAUCGCCGGUCCCGUGGGACCCGACGGAAACGGAAUCGGAGGCCCGGAUCAUGAGUUACGGCAUAUUCUUUAGGGCCCCUGACGCCGUACGCUAUAGCCACCCGGGCCACCCCCAGCUGGCCGCACCCGCCCGAAUCCCGCCGAAUGCGUCCGUCGCCUCCCGAACCCGCCCAUCGGUCCCUCCCAGGGCAUUAACCGCCCCCGGGGGCCUGAAACCGGCCAAACCGACAAAACCGCCCCGAUCAUGCCCGUUUUUCGGCGUUCAAAACGCCGCGCGGCUAACCCCCCGGACCCCUGGUCCCGUGGGACCUGACGGAAACGAAAUCGGAUGCCCGGAUCGUGAGAUACGGCCAAAACCGUCAAAACGUACUGAGCGCACCCCGAACAUACCUAUUUCCCCACCCCAAUGCCCCCAGACCCCCGGUCCCGUGGGACCCGACGGAAACGGAAUCGGAUGCCUGGAUCCUGAGAAACGGCGAAAACCGUCAAACCCUACUAAGCUCACCCCGCACAUGCCCAUUUUUCAGCGUUCAAACUGCCGCGCGGCUCCCCCCCUAUCCUGAUGCCCCUGGAACCAUGGUCCCGUGGGACCCGACGGAAACGGAAUCAGAGGCCUGGAUCAUGGUUUACGGCCCCUUCUUUGCGGCCCCCGAGGCCGUGCGCUAUAGCCACCCGGGCUGCCACCCAGCCGGCCGCACCCUCCCGAACCCCACCGAACGCGUCCGCCGCCNNNNNNNNNNNNNNNNNNNNNNNNNNNNNNNNNNNNNNNNNNNNNNNNNNNNNNNNNNNNNNNNNNNNNNNNNNNNNNNNNNNNNNNNNNNNNNNNNNNNGGGCCGAAACCGGCCAAACCGGCAAAACCGCCCCGAUCGUGGCCAUUUUUCGGCAUUCAAACUGCCGCGGCUACCCCCCCCAUCCCGAGACCCCGGACCCCUGGUCCCGUCGGACCUGACGGAAACGGAAUCGGAUGCCCGGAUCAUGAGAUACGGCCACAACCGUCAAAACCUACUGAGCGCACCCCGAACAUGCCCAUUUUUCGGCAUUCAAACCGCCGCGCCGCUACCCCCCCAUCCCGAUGCCCCCGGAACCCUGGUCCCGUGGGACCCGACGGAAACGGAAUCGGAGGCCCGGAUCAUGAGUUACGGCCUAUUCUUUGGGGCCCCCGACGCCGUACGCUAUAGCCACCCGGGCCACCCCCAGCCGGCCGCACCCGCCUGAAUCCCGCCGAACGCGUCCGUCGCCUCCCGAACCCGCCCCUCGGUCCCUCCCAGGGCAUUAACCGCCCCCGGGGGCCCGAAACCGGCCAAACCGGCAAAACUGCCCCGAUCAUGCCCAUUUUUCGGCGUUCAAAACGCCGCGCGGUUAACCCCCCAUCCCGAUGCCCCCGGACCCCUGGUCUCGUGGGACCUGACGGAAACGGAAUCGGAUGCCCGGAUCAUGAGAUACGGCCAAAACUGUCAAACCUACUGAGCACACCCCGAACAUGCCCAUUUUUCGGCGUUCAAACCGCCGUGCGGCUACCCCCCAUCCCGAUGCCCCCGAACCCUGGUCCCGUGGGACUUGACGGACACGGAAUCGGAUGCCCGGAUCAUGAGAUACGGCCAAAACCGUCAAACCUACUGAGCGCACCCCGAACAUGCCCAUUUUUAGGUGUUCAAACCGCUGCGCUGCUACCCCCCAUCCCGAUGCCCCCGGAAUCCUGGCCCCGUGGGACCCGACGGAAACGGAAUCGGAGGCACAAAUCAUGAGAUACGGCCAAAACCGUCAAAAUCUAGUGAGCGCACCCCGAACAAGCCCCUUUUUCGGCGUUCAAACUGCCGUGCGGCUACCUUCCCAUCCCGAUGCCCCCAGAACCGUGGUCCCUUGGGACCCGACGGAAACGGAAUUGGAGGCCUGGAUCAUGAGUUACGGCCCCUUCUUUGCGGCCCCUGAGGCCGUGCGCUAUAGCCACCCGGGCUACCCCCCAGCCGGCCGCACCCUCCCGAACCCCACCAAACGUGUCCGCCACCUCCGAUUCCGCCCCGCAGUCCCCCCCGGGGCAUGAACCGCCCUCCGGGGGGCCGAAACCGGCUAAACCGGCAAAACCCAUUUUUCGGCGUUCAAACUGCCGCGGCUACCCCCCAAUCCCGAUGCCCCCGGACCCCUGGUCCCGUGGGACCUGACAGAAACGGAAUCGGAAGCCCGGAUCAUGAGAUACGGCCAAAACCGUCAAAACCUACUGAGCGCACCCCGAACAUGCCCAUUUUUCGGCGUUCAAACCGCCACGCGGCUACCCUCCCAUCCCGAUGCCCCCGGAACCCUGGUCCCGUUGGACCGGACGGAAACGGAAUCGAAGG
rnacentral:lncRNA from 1 species